CCGUAAAAUACUUACAUUUAUAGCGCCAGGGUACUACGAGCCUAGCUUAAACCCAAAGGACUUGACGGUGUUCCAUCCAACUAGAGGAGCUUGUCCUAUAAUCGAUAAUCCACGCUAUACCCAACCAUUUUUUGCUUUUCAGCCUGUAUACCUCCGUCGUAAGCUUACCGUGUGAGCGCAUAAUAGUAAGCUUAAUGGUUAGCAACCGCCACCACGCCAGGUCAAGGUGCAGCUUAUAAAAUGGAAGAGAUGGGCUACAAUUUUUACCUUAGAACAAACAAAUGCUGAAUGAAAUACAGCUAAAAAGGUGGAUUUAGAAGUAAGUGAGGAAUAGAGAGCCUCACUAAAAUCGGCCCUGGAAUGUGUACAAACCGCCCGUCACCCUCUUCAACAAUUAAUAAGCCAGUUCAAUAACACAAUUGACUAUUUUAGAUGAGGCAAGUCGUAACAUGGUAAGUAUACUGGAAAGUGUACUUGGAAUAA
rnacentral:rRNA from 1 species